rnacentral:rRNA from 1 species
CUACGGGGUGCAGCAGUGAGGAAUAUUGCACAAUGGAGGAAACUCUGAUGCAGCAACGCCGCGUGGAGGAUGACGCAUUUCGGUGUGUAAACUCCUUUUAUAUGUCAAGAAAAUGACGGUAGCAUAUGAAUAAGCACCGGCUAUCUCCGUGCCAGCAGCCGCGGUAAUACGGGGGGUGCAAGCGUUACUCGGAAUCACUGGGCGUAAAGGACGCGUAGGCGGGAUAUCAAGUCAGGUGUGAAAUCCUACAGCUUAACUGUAGAAAUGCACUUGAAACUGGUAACCUAGAGUAUGGGAGGGGGAGAUGGAAUUAGUGGUGUAGGGGUAAAAUCCGUAGAUAUCACUAGGAAUACCUAAAGCGAAGGCGAUCUCCUGGAACAUAACUGACGCUAAGGCGUGAAAGCGUGGGGAGCAAACAGGAUUAGAUACCCUGGUAGUC